rnacentral:rRNA from 1 species
UACAGAGGAUGCAAGCGUUAUCCGGAUUUAUUGGGUUUAAAGGGUCCGUAGGCGGGCUCAUAAGUCAGUGGUGAAAUCCUGCAGCUCAACUGUAGAACUGCCAUUGAUACUGUGAGCCUUGAAUUUGGUUGAAGUGGGCGGAAUAUGACAUGUAGCGGUGAAAUGCUUAGAUAUGUCAUAGAACACCGAUUGCGAAGGCAGCUCACUAAGCCUGGAUUGACGCUGAUGGACGAAAGCGUGGGUAGCGAACAGG